rnacentral:rRNA from 1 species
GGACUACCCGGGUAUCUAAUCCUGUUUGCUCCCCACGCUUUCGAGUCUCAGCGUCAGUAUUCGUCCAGUUGGCCGCCUUCGCCACCGGUGUUCCUCUCGAUAUCUACGAAUUUCACCUCUACACCGAGAAUUCCACCAACCUCUCCGAUACUCUAGCUUGACAGUAUCGAGUGCACUUCCCGGGUUGAGCCCGGGGCUUUCACAUCCGACUUAUCAAACCGCCUACACUCGCUUUACGCCCAGUAAUUCCGAACAACGUUUGCACCCUCUGUCUUACCGCGGCUGCUGGCAC